rnacentral:rRNA from 1 species
GAGUUUGAUCUUGGCUCAGAUUGAACGCUGGCGGCAUGCCUUACACAUGCAAGUCGAACGGCAGCGCGGGAGCAAUCCUGGCGGCGAGUGGCGAACGGGUGAGUAAUACAUCGGAACGUGCCCAAUCGUGGGGGAUAACGCAGCGAAAGCUGUGCUAAUACCGCAUACGAUCUACGGAUGAAAGCAGGGGAUCGCAAGACCUUGCGCGAAUGGAGCGGCCGAUGGCAGAUUAGGUAGUUGGUGGGGUAAAGGCUCACCAAGCCAACGAUCUGUAGCUGGUCUGAGGAGGACGACCAGCCACACUGGGACUGAGACACGGCCCAGACU